UACGGGGGGGGCAAGCGUUGUUCGGAAUUACUGGGCGUAAAGGGCUCGUAGGCGGCCAACUAAGUCAGACGUGAAAUCCCCGGGCUUAACCUGGGAAUGGCAUUUGGGACUGCAAGGCUCGAGUGCGGCAGAGGAGACUGGAAUUCCUGGUGUAGCAGUGAAAUGCGUAGAUAGCAGGAGGAACACCGAUGGCGAAGGCAGGUCUCUGGGCUGACACUGACGCUCAUGCACGAAAGCGUGGGGAGCAAACAGG
rnacentral:rRNA from 1 species